GACGAACGCUGGCGGCGUGCUUAACACAUGCAAGUCGAACGGAAAGGCCCUGCUUUUGUUGUGUGCUCGAGUGGCGAACGUGUGAGUAACACGUGAGUAACCUUCCCUUUUCUUUGGUAUAUCUUCAGGAAACUUGGGCUAAUACCGGAUAGGAUCUCCUUCUUCAUGUUGUUGGUUGGAUAGUUUCGGGGGUUGGGGAUGGACGCGCGGCUUAUCAGCUUGUUUGUGUGGUAGUGGCUUACCAAGGCUUUGACGGGUAGCCGGCAUGAGAGGGUGACCGGGAAAAAUGGGAGUGAGAGACGGCACAGACUGGAACGGGAGGCAGCAGUGGGGAAUAUUGAAAAAUGGGAGGAAGCAUGAUGAAGAAAAGGAGCGUGCGGGAUGAAGGACUUCGGGUUGUAAAACGAUUUAGAAUGUGAAGAAGAGUGAGUGACGGUAAUGGGUAAAGAAGCAACGGCUAACUACGUG
rnacentral:rRNA from 1 species